CCUACGGGGGGCUGCAGUGGGGAAUAUUGGACAAUGGGCGAAAGCCUGAUCCAGCCAUGCCGCGUGAGUGAUGAAGGCCCUAGGGUUGUAAAGCUCUUUUGUGCGGGAAGAUAAUGACGGUACCGCAAGAAUAAGCCCCGGCUAACUUCGUGCCAGCAGCCGCGGUAAUACGAAGGGGGCUAGCGUUGCUCGGAAUCACUGGGCGUAAAGGGUGCGUAGGCGGGUUUCUAAGUCAGAGGUGAAAGCCUGGAGCUCAACUCCAGAACUGCCUUUGAUACUGGAAGUCUUGAGUAUGGCAGAGGUGAGUGGAACUGCGAGUGUAGAGGUGAAAUUCGUAGAUAUUCGCAAGAACACCAGUGGCGAAGGCGGCUCACUGGGCCAUUACUGACGCUGAGGCACGAAAGCGUGGGGAGCAAACAGGAUUAGAUACCCCGGUAGUC
rnacentral:rRNA from 1 species